rnacentral:rRNA from 1 species
UUGCUCAAUGAUUUUUUAAAUUGCUGUAGUAUUUUGACUAUACAAAGGUAUUGAAAUAAGACUUUAAUUGAGUGCUAAGAGAAUGGAAUUACAGGAAAAAUUUUUUUUAAACUUAACAAUUAAAGUUAUUUUUACUUGUGAAGAAGCAGUAAUAAAAAUUAAGGACAAGAAGACCCUAAGAAUUUUUCGAUACAUAUUUCAAUAAAGAAAAUAUGUUUCUUUAAUUGGGGCGAUUAAUUAAUAUUAAAAACUUUUUUGAAAAAACAUGAACCGUUUAAUAGCGGUAAAUUGGUAAAAAUACUCUAGGGAUAACAGCGUAAUAAUUUUUGAUAGUUCAUAUUGACAAAAUAGUUUGCGACCUCGAUGUUGGAUUAGGAUAUUUUUUUAAUGAAGAAGUUAAAAAAAAAAGUUUGUUCAACUUUUAAUUUCCUACUUGAUCUGAGUUCAGACCGGA